AUGGAAGCAAGGCCAGCAACCUGUGACUUCUGGGCUUCUCAGCAUAUGGGACACACGAGACCCUCUGCUCUGGUGGCUAGACUCCCUACUCCUAGCAGCAGACACAGAUCAGCCUCACACACAGGUGUUCCUUUGUUUAACAUGACACAUAUGCCGGAAGAAUGCCAUGUGAAGGCACAGGCAGAGAUCGGGAUGAUGUGUGUACAAGCCAAGGACGCCAAAGAUCUCCAGCAAAGCCCAGGAGUGAGGAGACAGGCCUGGAACAAGUUCUCCCACACAGCCUCAGAAGGAAGCAACCCUAUCAACACCUUGGUCUCGGACUUCCAGUUUGCAGAACUGUGAGACAAUGCGUUCCUGUGGUGGGAACCCGCACUGCACGGUGCUGGGUUGCGGCAACCAUAGGCAACCAAUACACCCCACAAGGAAGCUGAGCUUGACAACUAAGAGGUUGCAGUUUUCCAAGGUGGAGAUGUGUUUGCUCAUGUCUGUCCAUGUUUUUCCUUUUAUGGAACGGAGCCCUUGGUACACGUGGGGCAACUUGCUGAACUUUUGGAAAACUGAUCACACCUUCCCUGCCUUCCAAGAGUUCUCAUUCAUGGGGACAGAAUGUACCUCAUAACUUGGUGUGUCCUUAAGACUGUCUCCGUGUUGAGUGCUGGGUGAUUUUACGAGCAUUUGUAUGUCCGUCUGUGUGUGUGUGUGUGUGUGUGUGUGUGUGUAUGCAUGCAUGCGUGGGUAUACAUGUGUGAAUGUGUGUGUGUACGAGAGUGUUGGGUGUGAAUCUGCGUGUGCGUAUUUGUGUGCAUAUGAGUGUGUGGCUGUGUAGGAGUGUGAGCGUGUGUGAGUGUGACUGAGCUCUCACAGGAAGUCUGUCAGGGGCUUUGGCCCUUCGUCACUCUGGAAGUAGAGGCUGGAGAAAGAGAAACCCGCUGCAGGGUCUCUUGGCUACACAUAGACAGGGUGGGUCUUGCUGUACCUGGGGAAGGUUUGGGUCUGCGAAGGGGCACCUCACCCUCAGGAGGAGCUGAGUGUGUCCUGACCCCCCACAGCCCGAUCCUCAGGGCCGGCUGCUGGGAGGCUUAGCUGGAUGCCCUGCUCACCAGGGAAGCCCCUGGGACUGGAUCCACAGGGCCAACACCGAGGAAGAGGGGAAAGGUGGGUUGAAACAUUGUUGCAAGGAGAAAACACUGCAUAGAACCCUAUUGUUUUAGGGCUGGGGCUAAUUUAACGAGACACUGCAUGUCCACAUAAUAGAAAAUUAUGCAGUCAUCAAAAGUGAAAUUUGACUAAUUUUUAGUGCCUGGGAAGCUGCUUGUGAUGGAUAGAAAAUACCAGAGUUCAAAAUGGCAGCGUUCAAAAUAGAGACAGAGUCAUUAGACUCCAGCGCUGUACAAAAGUCCUGGGUUUGAAUUUGGACUUGCCACUGGCUGGGUGUGAGUCCUAGGGCGUUACCAACCUCCCUACCCUGGUUUCUUCAUCGGUUAAGUGGGAACGACAAGAGUACCAACCCCACAGGCCGAAGGGUGGCAUUUAAGGGGCUCUUGAUGAAAAAACCCUGAUUUGUUGCAUCUGCUGGCUCCCAUGGCAAAUACUCCCAUAAUGGCCAACAUCACACUCCCAGUGACUUAACAACCUAUUCACAGAAUUUCUGAAAACUUAAGUCACCCUCACAAGCCAGCCUGGGCUGACUUCAGCACAGCACAGCUAGGGGCUUUGAGGAUUAAAUAAAUACAUGCUUUGAGCAAUGUAUAACACAAAAGAUGAACAGGAGCUAUCACAUCCGCUGCAUCCUAUUUGGACACACAUUACCAGAAAAAUAAGUAAAAUAAAAAGAGCAAUGUGUGUGCAAACCAUGGUAUGUGGUAGACUGAGGGUGGUGAUUGCAAUUCUGUCCAUCUGAGGUUCAAAGGAUAACUUAAAAUAUGUAUAUGGCUGGUUGGGCGCGGUGGCUCAUGCCUGUAAUCCCAGCACUUUGGGAGGUUGAAGGGGGUGAAUCACCAGAGGUCAGGAGUUUGAGACCAAUCUGGCCAACAUGGUGAAACCUCAUCUCUACUAAAAAUACAAAAAUUAGCUGGAUGUUGCGGCCCACGCCCGUAAUCCCAGCUGCUCAGGAGGUUGAGGCCGGAGAAUCGAUUGAACCUGGGAGGUGGAGGUUGCAGUGAGCUGUGAUCUUGCCACUGCACUCCAGCCUGGGCAGCAGAGUGAGACUCCGUCUCAAAAAAAAAAUAUAUGGCUAAAAAGAGGUUCACAAAAAUGCUGAGAGUGGUGGGAUCAUAGACCAUAUGUGUAAGUUGGCAAUUUGUCCUAGUUUUGCACAAGGAGCACAUGUGAUACAAUCAUUUAAUGUCAUUUAAAGGAGCGAGGAGUUCUGAAGGUGGGCGCUCUAACUCUUGGGGUAGGGCCAAGGGAAUGAAGCCCCCACGGCCUUAGGGAAAGUCGUGGUCGUCACAGAGAGUCAGGGAAGACUGCCUGGGCUGGAGGGAGGCUGCUGAAAGGCCUGUCCCCAUCACCACCCAUUAGGUGGCUCAGCUUUCGUGACACCUUCACUCCUUCCCAUCUAAAGGGGAGGCUUUUUCUUGGCACAACCUGCCUCUUGGAUACAGUGAGAGGGAAUCAGCCAGGUUUUCUGUCUGGGCCUGUGGGUGGUCCUGACACUGGAUUGAAUAAUGUCCUCCCCAAAACUC
rnacentral:lncRNA from 1 species